GGAUGAGCCCGCGGCCUAUCAGCUAGUUGGUGGGGUAAUGGCCUACCAAGGCGACGACGGGUAGCCGGCCUGAGAGGGCGACCGGCCACACUGGGACUGAGACACGGCCCAGACUCCUACGGGAGGCAGCAGUGGGGAAUAUUGCGCAAUGGGCGAAAGCCUGACGCAGCAACACCGCGUGAGGGAUGACGGCCUUCGGGUUGUAAACCUCUUUCAGCUCCGACGAAGCGAAAGUGACGGUAGGAGCAGAAGAAGCACCGGCUAACUACGUGCCAGCAGCCGCGGUAAUACGUAGGGUGCAAGCGUUAUCCGGAAUUAUUGGGCGUAAAGAGCUCGUAGGCGGUCCGUUGCGUCUGCCGUGAAAACCCGGAGCUCAACUCCGGGCCUGCGGUGGAUACGGGCGGACUAGAGUCCGGUAGGGGAGACUGGAAUUCCUGGUGUAGCGGUGGAAUGCGCAGAUAUCAGGAGGAACACCGGUGGCGAAGGCGGGUCUCUGGGCCGGAACUGACGCUGAGGAGCGAAAGCGUGGGGAGCGAACAGGAUUAGAUACCCUGGUAGUCCACGCCGUAAACGGUGGGCGCUAGGUGUGGGGAUCGUUUC
rnacentral:rRNA from 1 species